ensembl:snRNA U2 U2 spliceosomal RNA
GUAGGGCCCUGGGCCUUUUGGCUAAGAUCAAGUGUAGUAUCUGUUCUUAUCAGUCUUAGAGUUUUUAAUUAUACAAGAUUUUCACUUGCUUGGUUAGAGUUAUCCCAA